AGCAGUCGCCGCGGUAAUACAGAGGGUGCGAGCGUUAAUCGGAUUUACUGGGCGUAAAGCGUGCGUAGGCGGCUUCUUAAGUCGGAUGUGAAAUCCCUGAGCUUAACUUAGGAAUUGCAUUCGAUACUGGGAAGCUAGAGUAUGGCAGAGGGGGGUAGAAUUCCACGUGUAGCAGUGAAAUGCGUAGAGAUGUGGAGGAAUACCGAUGGCGAAGGCAGACCCCUGGGCCAAUACUGACGCUCAUGCACGAAAGCGUGGGGAGCAAACAGGAUUAGAUACCCCGGUAGUCCCUGUCUCUUAUAC
rnacentral:rRNA from 1 species